UUAAUGCUGUUGUUACUGUUACACACAGCAUGUAAUUUCACUGUUUUAUAUUUGUGCUCCAGGUGCUACUUUUGAUGUGUCCAAAGGAGCAGAAAUCAGCAAUGCCAUUGCUCCUCCUGAAGUGACUUACAGCACUGUCACCCACCUUCCCUCUGCAACCUCUGCCUUUCAGCCCCAGCAGGACAACGUGGUUUACAGCAGUCUGAAGACAGAAUGAGAGAAUUCAUACAAAAAACACAGGAGUCCUUUUAGUCCUUGAGAUGUCUUGACCAACAGAGCAUUGCAAUGCUUAUAUAGAUAUAUACAAUUAAAAUGGAAAUGUUUCAUUUUACAUUCUUUUCAUUUAACAUUUUCAAACUCUACCACCUUUUCAAACUCUACAUUAGUCCUCCCUCCUGAUUUCUCCCGCCCCCCUUUCUGAUAUCCCUAUCCCUCUUGUCUAACAAAAAAAAAAAUUGCACUUAUGAUGGCUAUAUGUUUAGAACAGCACCUUUGUAUUUUCCUAGUUAUGGAUGUGAUGCUUUGACUUGUGGAAGAACCUAUGCACUUGUAAGUCGCUUUGGAUUAAAAGCGUAUGCCAAAUGACUAAAAUGUAAAUGUAAAUGUCUUUGACAAUAUCUUGGAAAUAUCAUUGAAUUAUUAAUCUUUUGUUAAUAAGUCCUUUCUUUCUUUCGAUGUUGUUUUGGGAUUGUACCCCCAGAGCAGAGAUCUUACACAGCACAUAUGAAACCAGAUUUACUCACUCAGUUACUUUUCUAUUAUCUAUGUGUACUGUUACUGUUAUGUAAAAUAUUUAAUUAAUUGCACAAUUUAUACUUAUUUUCACUGAUCCUGAAUCCCUUAUGCUAUUUGUUUUACUAGGAACACAUUAAUCAAGAUUUCACAGAUUCCACAUCAAUGUGAAUGUGCCAGAGUAAGCUAAUGAGUUCAUUUUCAUCUGUAGUCCCUAAGCGGCAUGUCUAUGGACUGUGGGAGGAAACCAGAGUACCUGGAGGAAACCCACACAGACACGGGGAGAACAUGCAAACUCCACACAGAAAGGCCUGGGCGGGGCUCAAACCCAGGACCUUCUUGUUGUGAAGCAACAGUGCUACCCACUGUGCCCAAUGUCAUGUCAUGUAUUACAAAUUUAGGGAAUAACUCUUAACAGAACUGCACUUAUAUAUUAUGUAGUGCUUAAUACAGUGCUGUUAUGUUAUGUUAUGUUAUGUUAUGUUAUGUUAUGUUAUGUUAUGUUAUGUUAAUAUGAUAUACUAUGAGACUCACAUCCAUUUGUAUAGAUGUUGGACCCAGAGAACUUAAAAAAGCAAAAUAUUGUUUAUUCACCUUGAAACCAUGAAUUAUGUCAGUUUCUGUUUAUGCCCACUAGAGGCCGCCAGUUCCCAAGCUCUAAUGUAUUUCAUUUGUGUCUUUUUGGUCAUCCCUCAUCCUCAUUAUAUUAUUAGUUUCCCUUUGUAUUCAGUUUACAGGUUCCGAUCUUGUAUUUGCUGGUUUUAGUGAUGGGUUGGGUUGUUGCUAUCUGCUAGCAAUGCUGUUUCUAGGCUCUAGUUUUGCUCUCUUGUGUUCUCCUAUUUGUUUUGUUGUGUUCCGAGUGAAAGUAUUUUUGUUCACACUUAUCUCUGUUUCCUAACUCCCUCUGUCUCUGCAUUUGGAUUCAGCCCAAUGAUAAAUGUAUGCUUUUGAGAGACACAUAAGAGUUGUAUAAUUGGCUGUUCUUAGAUUAUAAUUAUUUUAUUACAAUUUAGUAUUGAGUUCAAGUAGGUUGUGCUGUAUUUGUGCAAAAUGAAUUCUGAAAAAAUA